UGAAGACACGAAUUUAAUUCGCAUCGUCGUUUUGAAACCCCACAAUUAUUUAACAUGGAACCCUUACUUGAAUUCUAUGGUCAUUUGUGAUUUUAGUUGCCUAUUAUCAGGUUUGCAUAUGAAUACACAUUUAUACUCACUUAUCUACUUUCCGACACGAAUCAGCAACAAUAUGAUGAUGGAUAUGAAUUAGUUUCGGAACUAUCUGAAAAUUGAAAAAGAUACUCUGUUUGGGAAGAAAAAGGAAGUCAAGGGUUUUGAUAUCAUUGGAAAAGUUAUGAUUAAGAGCAAUUGUUGUGUUGAGAUGUUGAAUUUAGUUUUGGAAGAGAUGAUUCAGAGAGGGAGAAUUAUACACUCUAGUAAGGUAAAAUGAGCCAUUGAGUUUGUUUUAGUGAUGGUUAGGGCUGGAAAUUAACGACACAACCCGAAUACAUGCCAUGAGUUGACACAAAGUCAAUGACAGCAAGGUUAGGACUGGAAAUUAACGACACAACCCGAUACACCGUGUUUGAUUAUUGUAUGUUUGUUCGAGUUACACUUUGUUUUGCUGCCUAUAGUGACUGAACCACACAGUCAAUGACAACAAGGAAAUCACGAUAUUAGACCAUAACAUAUGAAACUGACUGAGCUUGAAAUAUUGCUAAGUUGUGACAUGUACUAAUACUUUUGUGGAAUUGGGUACUAUUGUGGAGAGUGGAGAAGAUAACUUUAAAGUUUGGUUUCAUUUGGGAUGCCAUAGCAACACUUCAGAACGAUAUCGUUUUUUAAUAUUUCAGUUAUCAUCAUACUAAAUUAAGUCCAGUUGUUUUAUAGUCACCCAGUUUUUUUCUUACUUUUUUCCAUCCUGUUGUUUGAUUCAAAGCACAUGGUAUACAUUUUUUAUUUAUUGGUCGUGUGUACAUUUUGUAAUUGUUUUCUGAUUUAAAAAUAUAAUAAAAUAUCAGGGCUUGCUCCUGAGAUUCCGGAGGAUUUAUACCACCCGAUCAAGAAGGCAGUUGCGAUCAGGAAGCACUUGGAGAGGAACCGAAAGGACAAAGAUUCAAAGUUCAGGUUGAUUCUUGUUGAGAGCAGGAUUCAUCGUCUUGCCCGUUACUACAAGAAGACCAAGAAGCUUCCCCCUGUCUGGAAAUACGAAUCAACCACUGCUGGCACUUUGGUGGCUUAGAGAAGUGUUAUCUGGAGGAAGGGAUUCGAUUUUUGAGUUUUAUGUUAUGUUUUUUAGUUGAAAUAUUGUUCUUUGUUUGGAACAUGGAAAGAUUGUGUUGUUUGAAGAACUUGUUAGAAAUGUAGCAUCAAUUUAUGCACUUUUCAUACCUUAUGUCUAUUUGGAGUUUUUAAGUUCCAUU
rnacentral:lncRNA from 1 species